rnacentral:rRNA from 1 species
GACGAACGCUGGCGGCGUGCUUAACACAUGCAAGUCGAACGGAAAGGCCCCUUUGGGGGUACUCGAGUGGCGAACGGGUGAGUAACACGUGAGUAACCUGCCCUUGACUUCGGGAUGACUUCAGGAAACUGGGGCUAAUACCGGAUAGGAAUCCUUGCUGCAUGGUGGGGGUUGGAAAGCUUCGGCGGUUUUGGAUGGACUCGCGGCUUAUCAGCUUGUUGGUGGGGUAGUGGCUUACCAAGGCUUUGACGGGUAGCCGGCCUGAGAGGGCGACCGGCCACAUUGGGACUGAGAUACGGCCCAGACUCCUACGGGAGGCAGCAGUGGGGAAUAUUGCACAAUGGGCGGAAGCCUGAUGCAGCAACGCCGCGUGCGGGAUGACGGCCUUCGGGUUGUAAACCGCUUUCAGCAGGGGCGAAGCUUGUGGUGACGGUACCUGCAGAAGAAGCACCGGCUAACUACGUG